UACGUAGGUGGCAAGCGUUAUCCGGAAUUAUUGGGCGUAAAGAGCGCGCAGGUGGUUGAUUAAGUCUGAUGUGAAAGCCCACGGCUUAACCGUGGAGGGUCAUUGGAAACUGGUCGACUUGAGUGCAGAAGAGGGAAGUAGAAUUCCAUGUGUAGCGGUGGAAUGCGUAGAGAUAUGGAGGAACACCAGUGGCGAAGGCGGCUUCCUGGUCUGUAACUGACACUGAGGCGCGAAAGCGUGGGGAGCAAACAGGAUUAGAUACCCGGGUA
rnacentral:rRNA from 1 species